AUACGUAGGGUGCAAGCGUUGUCCGGAAUUAUUGGGCGUAAAGAGCUCGUAGGCGGUCUGUUGCGUCGGCUGUGAAAACCCGGGGCUCAACCCCGGGCCUGCAGCCGAUACGGGCAGACUAGAGUGAUGUAGGGGAGACUGGAAUUCCUGGUGUAGCGGUGAAAUGCGCAGAUAUCAGGAGGAACACCGGUGGCGAAGGCGGGUCUCUGGGCCGUAACUGACGCUGAGGAGCGAAAGCGUGGGGAGCGAACAG
rnacentral:rRNA from 1 species